GACGAACGCUGGCGGCGUGCUUAACACAUGCAAGUCGAACGGUAAGGCCCUUCGGGGUACACGAGUGGCGAACGGGUGAGUAACACGUGGGUGAUCUGCCCUGCACUUCGGGAUAAGCCUGGGAAACUGGGUCUAAUACCGGAUAGGACCACUGCCUGCAUGGGUGGGGGUGGAAAGCUUUUGCGGUGUGGGAUGGGCCCGCGGCCUAUCAGCUUGUUGGGGGGGUGAGGGCCUACCAAGGCGACGACGGGUAGCCGGCCUGGGAGGGUGACCGGCCCAACGCGGACUGAGAUGCGGCCCAGACUCCUACGGGAGGCAGCAGUGGGGAAUAUUGCACAAUGGGCGCAAGCCUGAUGCAGCGACGCCGCGUGAGGGAUGACGGCCUUCGGGUUGUAAACCUCUUUCAGCACCGACGAAGCGCAAGUGACGGUAGGUGCAGAAGAAGGACCGGCCAACUACGUGCCAGCCGCCGCCGUAA
rnacentral:rRNA from 1 species